rnacentral:lncRNA from 1 species
UAUGACGAGACCGGAUGCCAAGCGUGCCAGGAUCUGCUUGACAGUGCGAAGGCGAGCAGAAUCCCAAGCAUUGAAGAAUUUUCUAAGGCAUGCAAAGGCUCAUCAAGUCUCAAAGCCUGUUUAUGGCGAGACCAGAUGCCAAGCGUGCCAGGAUCUGCUCGACCGCGCGAAGGCGAGCAGAAUCCCAAACAUUGAAGAAUUUUCUAAGGCAUGCAAAGGCUCAUCAAGUCUCAAAGCCUGUUUAUGGCGAGACCAGAUG